ACGUACACUCCUACGGGAGGCAGCAGUGAGGAAUAUUGGACAAUGGGUGGAAGCCUGAUCCAGCCAUCCCGCGUGCAGGAAGACGGCCCUAUGGGUUGUAAACUGCUUUUAUCUGGGGAUAAACCUACUUACGUGUAAGUAGCUGAAGGUACCAGAAGAAUAAGCACCGGCUAACUCCGUGCCAGCAGCCGCGGUAAUACGGAGGGUGCAAGCGUUAUCCGGAUUUAUUGGGUUUAAAGGGUCCGUAGGCGGACUGAUAAGUCAGUGGUGAAAUCCGACAGCUUAACUGUCGAACUGCCAUUGAUACUGUUAGUCUUGAGUAAGGUUGAAGUGGCUGGAAUAAGUAGUGUAGCGGUGAAAUGCAUAGAUAUUACUUAGAACACCAAUUGCGAAGGCAGGUCACUAAGUCUUAACUGACGCUGAUGGACGAAAGCGUGGGGAGCGAACAGGAUUAGAAACCCCGGUAGUCCCAUG
rnacentral:rRNA from 1 species